rnacentral:rRNA from 1 species
ACCAGACUCCUACGGGAGGCAGCAGUGAGGAAUAUUGGUCAAUGGGCGCGAGCCUGAACCAGCCAAGUCGCGUGAGGGAGGACGGCCCUACGGGUUGUAAGCCUCUUUUGCCGGGGAGCAACGGGCGUCACGUGUGGCGCCACUGAGAGUACCCGGAGAAAAAGCAUCGGCUAACUCCGUGCCAGCAGCCGCGGUAAUACGGAGGAUGCGAGCGUUAUCCGGUUUUAUUGGGUUUAAAGGGUGCGUAGGCGCAUCGUUAGGUCAGGGGUCAAAUGGGGGGCCCCACCCCCUCCCCGCCAUUGAAACUGGCGCUCUUGAGUGGAAGAGAAGUAUGCGGAAUGCGUGGUGUAGCGGUGAAAUGCAUAGAUAUCACGCAGAACCCCGAUUGCGAAGGCAGCAUGCCGGCUUCCGACUGACGCUGAGGCACGAAAGUGCGGGUAUCGAACAGGAUUAGAUACCCGAGUA